GAAUUUAAUAUAAUUUUUUAUUUAUAAUUUUAUUAUAAAUUAAAUAAAAAUUUAAAAUAAUUAAUUAUAAUUUAAUUGGGAGGAUUUUUAAAUUUAAUUAACUUUAAAUUUAAUUAUAUUAUAAAUUAAUUAAUAAUAAAAUUUAGAAUGAUUAAUAAAUUAAAUAAGAAUUAAUUACCUUAGGGAUAACAGCGUAAUAUUUUUAUAAAGAUCUUAUUAAUAAAAAUGAUUGC
rnacentral:rRNA from 1 species